CAGGAGCCACGCGCGACGAUCCCCAACCCCCCGAGCGAGAGCCGUCGCCGCCGACCAGAUCCGCCGCGCCUCCGGAGGCGGACAACACGGCGGCCGCCAGGAUGCUGCCCGACGGGAUUGCAGGACUCGAACAACCUCAAGGAUGCGCUCAAGUACUCGGCGCAGAUGCUCUCGGAGCUGCGCACCUCCAGGCUCUCCCUGCACAAGUACUACGAGCUAUACAUGAGGGCGUUCGACGAGAUGCGGAAGCUCGAGAUGUUCUUCAGGGAGGAGACCCGCCGGGGCAGCUGCUCCGUGGUUGACCUCUACGAGCUUCUUCAGCAUGCUGGCAACGUGUUGCCGAGACUCUGCGGAGCUUGCGGAGUGCUGUGGAUUGUGAGCGCUCCAGCCUUGUUCGCUACUUCUCUACUGGUUCUGGGUCCUCUGCCAUAAAGGAAAAUGGUGUCUAGAAAAGAAUUGGAGGCGCCAGAUUUUCUCAGUACAAGCAACCUGGGAAAGAGCUUGAGACCUUCAAGGUGUCACUAGGAGUAAACGGAAGGUCCACUUGUAGAAGAACUCUCAUCAACCGUGUCCCAAAGGGUACAUCACUAGGGCGGAGGCGGAAGCUAGAUACGCGCGCUAUCUAGCGGGAGAGAGGAGGGAGCGGAGGAGGAACAAGAUGAAG